GACGAACGCUGGCGGCGUGCUUAACACAUGCAAGUCGAACGGACCGUUUCGGCGGUUAGUGGCGAACGGGUGAGUAACACGUGGGUGAUCUGCCCUGCACUUUGGGAUAAGCCUGGGAAACUGGGUCUAAUACCGGAUAGGACUACGGCCUGCAUGGGUUGUGGUGGAAAGCUUUUGCGGUGUGGGAUGGGCCCGCGGCCUAUCAGCUUGUUGGUGGGGUGAUGGCCUACCAAGGCGACGACGGGUAGCCGGCCUGAGAGGGUGACCGGCCACACUGGGACUGAGAUACGGCCCAGACUCCUACGGGAGGCAGCAGUGGGGAAUAUUGCACAAUGGGCGCAAGCCUGAUGCAGCGACGCCGCGUGAGGGAUGACGGCCUUCGGGUUGUAAACCUCUUUCGCUCACGACGAAGCGUAAGUGACGGUAGUGAGAGAAGAAGGACCGGCCAACUACGUGCCAGCCGCCGCCGUAACAC
rnacentral:rRNA from 1 species